rnacentral:rRNA from 1 species
UACAGAGGUCUCAAGCGUUGUUCGGAUUCAUUGGGCGUAAAGGGUGCGUAGGUGGCGCGCUAAGUCAGGUGUGAAAUUUCGGAGCUUAACUCCGAAACUGCAUUUGAUACUGGCGUGCUUGAGGACUGGAGAGGAGACUGGAAUUUACGGUGUAGCAGUGAAAUGCGUAGAGAUCGUAAGGAAGACCAGUGGCGAAGGCGGGUCUCUGGACAGUUCCUGACACUGAGGCACGAAGGCCAAGGGAGCAAACGGG